AAAAGACUUGAAAAAGAGACUAUGAAUUUCUUGCUGUGUUUCUUUUCCCUGAUAGCCAUGCCAAAAUGGUCACUUUCUGAGGUGCAACUUGUGUCAUCGGGACCAGGAACUCUAACACCCGGGCAAAAUCUUAAUUUGGUCUGUAAAGUUACUGGUGUCUCCAUCACGAGUACCAGCUAUUCUUGGCACUGGAUCCGUCAGCCUCCAGGGAAAGGCUUAGAAUGGAUUACUAGAAUCUUCCCCUAUAAUGGUAGAAAAUGGUACUCAUCUUCUCUUCAAAGCCGCACCACCAUUGCUUCAGACAACUCCAAGAAUGAAUAUUCCCUUCAGUUGAACUCCAUGUCAGCUGCUGACACUGCCGUGUAUUAUUGUGCUAGAUCUCCCUUGACACGCUGCCAAACAUUUCUCCCUUACCCCUCUCACCCCAAACCUCAGAGGAGUGACCAUAACUGGAGAAGAUGGAUUUUCACUAGUUAUCGCUGUCCCUCAGGGAUUACAUUGGACCUGAGAUAUGCAUUGUCCAGUGUAGAAGCCAAUCUUGAACGCAAUUAA